rnacentral:lncRNA from 1 species
UGACAUGAAGUUUGGGAACUUUAUCAGAAAAACCUUCAUCCAUAGACAGUGUGGUGACGUCAGCAUUGAUGAAUUGAAUAGAUGACAGAUGCUAACCCUGUCGUAGUGACUUCUUCUCAUGGAUCUGUUCUGUUUUCUAGGAGGGAGCUUGGCGCUGGACCGAUGGGACAGCUUUUGACUAUGAUAACUGGUGCCCUGGAGAGCCAAACAACGGACCAGGGGUCGGUCAGAACUGUUUGUACUACAACGCCGGUAAAUAAUAAAUAUAUCUUUGUCUUUUUAAAGUGCAAAAGUGUAUUAAAAUAGUUUUUUUUUUAAUAAAUGUUUUCUUAUUUGUAGUUAAUACUGAAAGUCCACAGUGCCUUACGAUGGUCUCUUCUCCUGUGUUUCUGGUUAGGUCGAAGGUGCUGGGAUGAUUUUCAGUGUGAUGAGCCGUACCCAUCUGUCUGUAUGAAGGAUCAAGAGUCCUGAGACUCUGAGGAGAAGAGGCUGUGAAGCACAGAAACUCCAGUUCAUGUGUUUGAAAACUCAUCUGGUCUCACGUUGAACCUGAGCGCUGUUAAUCUCUUUUUUUCCCGCUUUUCUAUCACUUUAACGCUGCAUAAGGAACGCUGCUUUAUUUUGGUAUCAGGUUAAAACAUUUUAAUUUUUUUUUUUCUGAUCUGGGCAACAAUAAAAGCUUUGAGCAUUUAAAAAAACACGUCUGUGCAACAUGUCAUUUUGUUAUUAAUAGCAUCCAGAGAUCUUACUUUUUAAUAUCUGCUAUCUUCUGAGUUAAUAGUGCAAAUUUUGUCUGGUACAUAUGAGUGAAAAUCAUUGUCAGUAGAUAUACACUCAGUUUAAUCAUCGCCUCAUAGAUGAGCGGACUAUUAGUGUACAUUAGUGGUGAAUGACCCGUAACCCCUCAGAAUAAACAAGAAAGAGUUCAUGUGGAAUAUAUAUAUCACUCUCCAAAGACAAAGGGGUCUAUGACGUUUGGAGGGGGGUAAACAUGUCCAACAUUUACAGACAUUACUGCUGCUGAAAUGUUAUUUCCAUGGAAGAGAAGCUCAUACCGGAAUUUGAAGGAAAAUAUUUGAAAAAAAAAAAUCUGUGCAAACAAAAAACUAGACAUAUAAAGUAAUAAAUAAAAGUGAACUUUGACCCUGAAUCAUGUGUGAGACCUUGUUUAGAUAACAGCCAAAGAUCCCUGGUCCCACAGUUCAGAUCAGGAUUUAUUCCUCUGGACUUCGAGGUUGGUCGGUCCAAAAAUACUCCUGUAGAAAACAGAGGAGGUAAGUUUUGUGAUUGAUGCUCUGAAGAAUUCUUACAACUU